UACGUAGGGUGCAAGCGUUGUCCGGAAUUAUUGGGCGUAAAGAGCUCGUAGGCGGUCUGUCGCGUCUGCUGUGAAAACUCAGGGCUUAACCCUGAGCUUGCAGUGGGUACGGGCAGACUAGAGUGCGGUAGGGGGAGACUGGAAUUCCUGGUGUAGCGGUGAAAUGCGCAGAUAUCAGGAGGAACACCGGUGGCGAAGGCGGGUCUCUGGGCCGUAACUGACGCU
rnacentral:rRNA from 1 species